rnacentral:tRNA from 1 species
AAAUAUGAAGCAAAAUUGCAAUUAGUUUCGACCUAAUUUUAGGUAAUAUCUACCCUUAUUUU